rnacentral:rRNA from 1 species
GACGGAGGAUGCAAGCGUUAUCCGGAAGGAUUGGGCGUAAAGCGUCUGCAGGUGGCAGUUCAAGUCUGCUGUCAAAGACCGGGGCUUAACUUCGGAAAGGCAGUGGAAACUGAACAGCUAGAGUAUGGUAGGGGCAGAGGGAAUUCCUGGUGUAGCGGUGAAAUGCGUAGAGAUCAGGAAGAACACCCGUGGCGAAGGCGGCUCUCUGGUACGUGACUGACGCUGAGACGCGAAAGCGUGGGGAGCAAACAGG